rnacentral:rRNA from 1 species
CCCUUAGAUGUUCUGGGCCGCACGCGCGCUACACUGAUGCAUUCAACGAGUUUCUUCCUGGUCCGAGAGGAAUGGGUAACCUUUUGAAAGUGCAUCGUGAUAGGGAUAGACUAGUGCAAUUAUUGGUCUUCAACGAGGAAUUCCUAGUAGACGUAGUUCAUCAGACUGCAUCGAUUACGUCCCUGCCCUUUGUACACACCGCCCGUCGCUCCUACCGAUUGAAUGCUCAGGUGAGCCAUUCGGACUUUCAUCAUGCUGGUUUCCAGUUUUGAUGAAGGAAAGUCUUGCGAACCUUAUCAUUUAGAGGAAGGAGAAGUCGUAACA